rnacentral:rRNA from 1 species
AUUGAACGCUGGCUGCAGGCCUAACACAUGCAAGUCGAAAUAGUGGCGGCCGGGUGAGUAAUGUCUGGGAAAAUGCCUGAUGGCGGGUGAUAACUACUGGAAACGUUAGCUAAUACCGCAUACCCUCGGAUGUGCCCAGAUGGGCUUAGCUAGUAGGGGGGGAAAAGGCUCACCUAGGCUACGAUCCCUAGCUGGGAUGAGAGGAUGACCAGCCACACUGGAACUGAGACACGGUCCAGACUCCUACGGGAGGCAGCAGUGGGGAAUAUUGCACAAUGGGCGCAAGCCUGAUGCAGCCAUGCCGCGUGUAUGAAGAAGGCCGUCGGGGUGUAAAGUACUUUCAGCGGGGAGGCGUUACCCGCAGAAGAAGCACCGGCUAACUCCGUGCCAGCAGCCGCGGUAAUUC